rnacentral:rRNA from 1 species
AACGAACGCUGGCGGCAGGCUUAACACAUGCAAGUCGAACGCCCCGCAAGGGGAGUGGCAGACGGGUGAGUAACACGUGGGGAUCUGCCCAAUGGUACGGAAUAAUUCCGGGAAACUGGGACUAAUACCGUAUGUGCCCGCAAGGGGAAAGAUUUAUCGCCAUUUGACGAACCCGCGUCAGAUUAGCUAGUUGGUGGGGUAAAGGCGCACCAAGGCGACGAUCCGUAGCUGGGCUGAGAGGAUGAUCAGCCACACUGGGACUGAGACACGGCCCUGACUCCUACGGGAGGCAGCAGUGGGGAAUAUUGGACAAUGGGCGCAAGCCUGAUCCAGCCAUGCCGCGUGAGUGAUGAAGGCCUUAGGGUUGUAAAGCUCUUUCGCCGACGAAGAUAAUGACGGUAGUCGGAGAAGAAGCCCCGGCUAACUUCGUGCCAGCCGCCGCAGUAA